GACGAACGCUGGCGGCGUGCUUAACACAUGCAAGUCGAACGGAAAGGCCUUUUCGGAGGUACUCGAGUGGCGAACGGGUGAGUAACACGUGGGUGAUCUGCCCUGCACUCUGGGAUAAGCCUGGGAAACUGGGUCUAAUACCGGAUAGGACCGCACUUUAGUGUGUGUGGUGGAAAGUUUUUUCGGUGUAGGAUGAGCCCGCGGCCUAUCAGCUUGUUGGUGGGGUAAUGGCCUACCAAGGCGGCGACGGGUAGCCGGACUGAGAGGUUGGUCGGCCACAUUGGGACUGAGAGACGGCCCAGACUCCUACGGGAGGCAGCAGUGGGGAAUAUUGCACAAUGGGCGCAAGCCUGAUGCAGCGACGCCGCGUGGGGGAUGACGGCCUUCGGGUUGUAAACGCCUUUCGCCAGGGACGAAGCGUUUUGUGACGGUACCUGGAGAAGAAGCACCGGCUAACUACGUG
rnacentral:rRNA from 1 species